rnacentral:RNase_P_RNA from 1 species
UAGGAAAAUCAUAUAUAUAAUAUAUUAUAUAUAAAUUAAUAUAUAAUAUACAUAUAUAUAUAUAUAUACAUAUAUAUAUAUAAUUAAUAUAUUUAAUAUUUAUAAUAAUUAAUAAUAAAAUAAUAAUUAUUAAUAAUAAUAAUAAAUAAUUAUAAAUUAUAUAAAAAUUAAUUAAUAUAUAUAUAUAUAUUAAAUAAAUAAUUAAUAAUAUUAAUAUAUUAUAAAUAGAAAUAUAUUUAUAUUAAUAAUUGAUAUAUAUAUAAAUUAUUAUAUAUAUCAUAUAUUUAUAUAAAUAAUAAAUAAAUAAUAAUAAUAUUGUUAUUAUAUAUAUUAUAUAUUAUAUAUUAUAAUAUAAAAUAAUAAUUAAAUAUAAUUAUAUAAUUAUAUAAUUAUAAAUAAUUUAUUAAAUUAUAUAUAUAUAUAUAUAAUAAAUAAAUAAUAAUUAAAUUAUUAUUAAUAAUUGAAUAAUUGAAAAGAAUAUUAAUUAAUUAAUUAAUAAUUAAUAUAUAUAUAUAUAUAUUAUCAUUAUUAUUAUAUAAUUAAUAAUUAUAUUAUUUAUAAUAAUAAAUAAUUAUUAUAAUAUAUAAAUAUAAAAUAUUAUAUAUAUAAUUAUAUUAUAUAUAUAUAUUAUAUUAUAUAUAUAAAUAUAAAAUAUAAAAUAUUAUAUAUAUAAUUAAUAUAAUAAUAAUAAUAAAAUUAAAUUAUUAAUAUUAAUAAGUGUUAUAAAAUAUUAUAUAUAUUAUAAUAUAUAAUUAUUAUAUAUAUAAUUGAUAAAUAAUAAUUAAAUUAUAUUAUAAUAAUAAUAAUAACUAAAAUAUGGUUAA